GACGAACCGUCCUAACGUUGUUCGGAAUCACUGGGCUUAAAGGGCGCGUAGACGGCCUUGAAAGUCGGGGGUGAAAUCCCACGGCCUAACCGUGGAAGUGCCUCCGAUACUGCAAGGCUCGAGGGAGGUAGGGGCAGCUGGAACUUCCGGUGGAGCGGUGAAAUGCGUUGAUAUCGGAAGGAACGCCGGUGGCGAAAGCGAGCUGCUGGACCUCUGCUGACGCUGAGGCGCGAAAGCCAGGGGAGCAAACGGG
rnacentral:rRNA from 1 species